rnacentral:tRNA from 1 species
GCCUGGGUGGCUUGGUCGGUUAAGCGUCCGACUUCGGCUCAGGUCAUGAUCUCACGGUCCGUGGGUUCAAGCCCCGCGUCGGGCU